rnacentral:rRNA from 1 species
UGCCUCAGUAACGGCGAGUGAAGCGGCAAGAGCUCAAAUUUGAAAGCUGGCUCCUUCGGGGUCCGCAUUGUAAUUUGCAGAGGAUGUUUCGGAAGCAGCCCCCAUCUAAGUGUCCUGGAACGGACCGUCAUAGAGGGUGAGAAUCCCGUAUGGGAUGGGGUGUCUGCGUCCAUGUGAAACUCCUUCGACGAGUCGAGUUGUUUGGGAAUGCAGCUCUAAAUGGGUGGUAAAUUUCAUCUAAAGCUAAAUAUUGGCCGGAGACCGAUAGCGCACAAGUAGAGUGAUCGAAAGAUGAAAAGCACUUUGAAAAGAGAGUUAAAAAGCACGUGAAAUUGUUGAAAGGGAAGCGCUUGCGAUCAGACUCGCCUUGGGGGUUCAGCCGGCAUUCGUGCCGGUGUACUUCCCCCAGGGCGGGCCAGCGUCGGUUUGGGUGGCUGGUCAAAGGCCCUUGGAAUGUAACGCCUCUCGGGGCGUCUUAUAGCCAAGGGUGCCAUGCAGCCUACCUGGACCGAGGAACGCGCUUCGGCUCGGACGCUGGCAUAAUGGUCGUAAGCGACCCGUCUUGAAACACGGACCAAGGAGUCUAACAUCUACGCGAGUGUUCGGGUGUCAAACCCGUGCGCGCAGUGAAAGCGAACGGAGGUGGGAACCCUUACGGGUGCACCAUCGACCGAUCCUGAUGUCUUCGGAUGGAUUUG